UUGGACGCUUGUGAACUAGUGUGCUGUAUUAUAUUGGAAUGAAACUUACUAUGUCAACGCAGUAUUACUCUAGACAUGUUGAUUAGGGUACAGAAUGGAUAUACAGUGGUUCCCAACUCCAGUCCUCCAGUACCCCCAACAGUGGUUCCCAACUCCAGUACCCCCAACAGUGGUUCCCAACUCCAGUCCUCCAGUACCCCCAACAGUGGUUCCCAACUCCAGUACCCCCAACAGUGGUUCCCAACUCCAGUCCUCCAGUACCCCCAACAGUGGUUCCCAACUCCAGUCCUCCAGUACCCCCAACAGUGGUUCCCAACUCCAGUCCUCCAGUACCCCCAACAGUGGUUCCCAACUCCAGUACCCCCAACAGUGGUUCCCAACUCCAGUCCUCCAGUACCCCCAACAGUGGUUCCCAACUCCAGUACCCCCAACAGUGGUUCCCAACUCCAGUCCUCCAGUACCCCCAACAGUGGUUCCCAACUCCAGUCCUCCAGUACCCCCAACAGUGGUUCCCAACUCCAGUCCUCCAGUACACCCAACAGUGGUUCCCAACUCCAGUACCCCCAACAGUGGUUCCCAACUCCAGUACCCCCAACAGUGGUUCCCAACUCCAGUACCCCCAACAGUGGUUCCCAACUCCAGUCCUCCAGUACCCCCAACAGUGGUUCCCAACUCCAGUCCUCCAGUACCCCCAACAGUGGUUCCCAACUCCAGUCCUCCAGUACACCCAACAGUGGUUCCCAACUGCAGUCCUCCAGUACCCCCAACAGUGGUUCCCAACUCCAGUCCUCCAGUACCCCCAACAGUGGAUCCCAACUCCAGUUCUCCAGUACCCUAACAGUGGUUCCCAACUCCAGUACCCCCAACAGCAGUUCCCAACUCCAGUCCUCCAGUACCCCAACAGUGGUUCCCAACUCCAGCCCUCUAGUACCCCCAACAGUGGCUCCCAACUCCAUCCCUCCAGUACCCCCAACAGUGGUUCCCAACUCCAGUCCUCCAGUACCCCAACAGUGGUUCCUAACCCCAGUACCCCCAACAGUGGUUCCCAACUCCAGUCCUCCAGUACCCCCAACAGUGAUUCACAACUCCAGUCCUCCAGUACCCCAAAAGUGGUUCCUAACCCCAGUACCCCCAACACUGGUUCCCAACUCCAGCCCUCUAGUACCCCCAACAGCGGUUCCCAACUCCAGUCCUCCAGUACCCCCAACAGUGGUUCCCAACUCCAGUCCUCCAGUACCCCAACAGUGGUUCCCAACCCCAGUACCCCCAACACUGGUUCCCAACUCCAGUCCUCCAGUACCCCCAACAGUGGUUUCCAACUCCAUCCCUCCAGUACCCCCAACAGUGGUUCCCAACUCCAGUCCUCCAGUACCCCAACAGUGGUUCCUAACCCCAGUACCCCCAACAGUGGUUCCCAACUCCAGUCCUCCAGUACCCCCAACAGUGAUUCACAACUCCAGUCCUCCAGUACCCCAAAAGUGGUUCCUAACCCCAGUACCCCCAACACUGGUUCCCAACUCCAGCCCUCUAGUACCCCCAACAGCGGUUCCCAACUCCAGUCCUCCAGUACCCCCAACAGUGGUUCCCAACUCCAGUCCUCCAGUACCCCCAACAGUGGUUCCCAACUCCAGUCCUCCAGUACCCCCAACAGUACACAUUAUUUAGUGUAGCCCUCAACAAGCACACCUGAAUAAACUUGUUAACAAAUAACCCUCGUUAAGUUGAAUCAAGUGCGUUUGUCCGUGGCUACAACAUAAAUGUGUGCUGUUGGUGGAACUGGAGGACCGGAGUUGGGAAACACUGUUUUAGGUCAUUAUCUGCAGCUGGGUUACCAUAAUGAGAGUCAAAACCACUUAUUAGAAAAUCACAUGAACGAUGGUCAUCCUGUUGUUCGGUGGAAGCAUGCUGACAGUGUUCAAAUCACCUCUCCAAAGAGGUCGGUCUCUGUUCCCUGCUCAUAGAAUGGUUUACGACUCUUUUAAUUUGCAUGUGUAUAGCAGACAAAUUGAUCACGAUGAAAGAAGCCA
ensembl:lncRNA